GAUGAACGCUGGCGGCGUGCCUAAUACAUGCAAGUCGAGCGAACAGACGAGGAGCUUGCUCCUCUGACGUUAGCGGCGGACGGGUGAGUAACACGUGGAUAACCUACCUAUAAGACUGGGAUAACUUCGGGAAACCGGAGCUAAUACCGGAUAAUAUAUUGAACCGCAUGGUUCAAUAGUGAAAGACGGUUUUGCUGUCACUUAUAGAUGGAUCCGCGCCGCAUUAGCUAGUUGGUAAGGUAACGGCUUACCAAGGCAACGAUGCGUAGCCGACCUGAGAGGGUGAUCGGCCACACUGGAACUGAGACAAGGUCCAGACUCCUACGGGAGGCAGCAGUAGGGAAUCUUCCGCAAUGGGCGAAAGCCUGACGGAGCAACGCCGCGUGGGUGAUGAAGGUCUUCGGAUCGUAAAACUCUGUUAUUAGGGAAGAACAAAUGUGUAAGUAACUAUGCACGUCUUGACGGUACCUAAUCAGAAAGCCACGGCUAACUACGUG
rnacentral:rRNA from 1 species